CACAUGAAGAUGCAGGUGGAAGGACCUGGUUGUUUGGUAUCUUGGGUUAAUACCAGUAGGUGGCAAAAUGCAGAGGAAGGCUAGCACAGUCCAUCAAUUGGGAUGUGAGUGCCAAGCAGAAGAGAUGCUCUGCAGGAUCCCUUUGAUCUCUUCAGUGCCAAACAUGGGUUGGAAUAGACUGUACCAGAGCUGCCCAUCUGGAUGGAAGAUGCAUAUUGAUGAGCCUCACUUGCAGAAAUGAUCUCGUCUGGUGGUGAGCUGAAUGGGAAUGUGUGAGGACGAUUCCCUGUAACACAGCUCUGGGGAUUGGACAUGUGGCACCCCGUGCCUGUGGUGGCUGUUAAUUUAUUCUGCUAAUGAGUAUAACUGAGAAGGAUGUUGAACAAACAACUAACAAUCUCAGUAAUGAGAGAGAACUAAAGACCCAAACCCAACCACACUGAUAUCUUAUAGACUGCUCAUUACGGUACUUCUGUAACGGUGCUGAAAAUCCCCACAGA